GCAGGCCUCAGCAACAGAACAACUUUUCCUUGUUUCCUUCUACCAAGGGCUGGAAUUUCAGAGGGAAAAAGCGCAAGCAGAGCACCCAAGAUGAAGAUGCAGUCAGUGUCUGCAACUUCGACUCAAGUUGCCAUCAGUGCAUUACAGAAUGCAAAAGGAAAGGCCUCUGCCCCAAGAAGCUAGACUUCACGUGACGAUGAGAAAGAACAAGCAGGAAAGGGAGAAGUGAAGUUGCUGGAAUGGUUAACUUUACAUGAGAAGCAGUGAGUUAGCAUUGUUUUGAUUGUAAAUCAGUUGCCACAUCAUAAUCAGUUGCCACAUUACAAAUCAGUUGCCACAUAAUAAUCUCUUGCAGAUUAACUCUAAAAAUGAGAUAUUGUACAUCCUUUUUGUUUGCAAAUAAAUUGUAUACUAAUUUGUGGGCAUGCACCCAUUUAGGCAUGUACACACACACACACACACACACACACACACACCCGUCUUCCAAUCCAGAAUUUAGAAAGCUGCCAAUAAGAAAAUGUCACUAAGAGAAUAUUCACAUGUUGGUUUUAGUGUGGUGAAGUGAAUAAUCUCAUUCACGCAUCCUGGGUUUGCUACUCACGUUAUGGAACUGCAUUGAUCCGUAUCUCUGUGAGUUCGGUCGUUCACAUGGGCAAGUAUUUGAAUAAAGAUGGAAU